UGCAUAGGAAUCUACCUAGUAGUAUGGAAUAGCUGUUAGAAAUGACAGGUAAUACCGUAUAAUCCCUGCGGGGGAAAGAUUUAUCGCUAUUAGAUGAGCCUAUGUUAGAUUAGCUAGUUGGUAAGGUAAUGGCUUACCAAGGCUAUGAUCUAUAGCUGGUCUGAGAGGACGAUCAGCCACACUGGAACUGAGAUACGGUCCAGACUCCUACGGGAGGCAGCAGUGGGGAAUAUUGGACAAUGGGCGCAAGCCUGAUCCAGCUAUGCCGCAUGAGUGAAGAAGGCCUUAGGGUUGUAAAGCUCUUUCAGCAGGGAAGAUAAUGACGGUACCUGCAGAAGAAGUCCCGGCAAACUCCGUGCCAGCAGCCGCGGUAAUACGGAGGGGGCAAGCGUUGUUCGGAAUUAUUGGGCGUAAAGGGCAUGUAGGCGGUUUAAUAAGUUAAAAGUGAAAUACCAGGGCUUAACCUUGGAGCUGCUUUUAAUACUGUUAAACUAGAGAUCGAGAGAGGAUAGUGGAAUUCCUAGUGUAGAGGGAAAUU
rnacentral:rRNA from 1 species